AGUGAACGCUGGCGGUAGGCCUAACACAUGCAAGUCGAACGGAAGCACAGUAAGCGCUUGCUCUUACGGGUGGCGAGUGGCGGGCGGGUAAGGCAUACAUCGGAAUCUACUUUUUCGUGGGGGAUAACGUGGGGCAACUUACACUACUACCGCAUACGUUCUACGGGUGAAAGCAGUGGAUAUUCGGACCUUGCGCGUUUGAAUGAGCCGAUGUCGGAUUAGCUAGUUGGCGGGGUAAAGGCACACCAAGGCAACGAUCCGUAGCUGGUCUGAGAGGAUGAUCAGCCACACUGGAACUGAGACACGGUCCAGACUCCUACGGGAGGCAGCAGUGGGGAAUAUUGGACAAUGGGCGAAAGCCUGAUGCAGCCAUGCCGCGUGAGUGAAGAAGGCCUUCGGAUUGUAAAGCCCUUUUAUUGGGAAAGAAAAGCAGCAUAAUAAAACCCGGCUGUCCUGACGGUACCCAAAGAAUAAGCAACGGCUAACUUCGUG
rnacentral:rRNA from 1 species